UACGGAGGGAGCUAGCGUUGUUCGGAAUUACUGGGCGUAAAGCGCACGUAGGCGGCUUUGUAAGUUAGAGGUGAAAGCCUGGAGCUCAACUCCAGAAUUGCCUUUAAGACUGCAUCGCUUGGAUCAUGGAGAGGCGGGUGGAAUUCCGAGUGUAGAGGUGAAAUUCGUAGAUAUUCGGAAGAACACCAGUGGCGAAGGCGGCCCGCUGGACAUGUAUUGACGCUGAGGUGCGAAAGCGUGGGGAGCAAACAGG
rnacentral:rRNA from 1 species